rnacentral:rRNA from 1 species
GACGAACGCUGGCGGCGGGCCUAACACAUGCAAGUCGAACGGAAAGGUCCGGCUUUGGGGGGGUGGUCGAGGGGCGAACGGGGGAGUAACACGUGAGUAACCUGCCCUUGACUUAGGGAUAACUUCAGGCAACUGGGGCUAAUACCGGAUAGGAGCUCUUGCUGCUUGGGGGGGGUGGGAAAGAUUAGGCGGUUGGGGAUGGACUUGCGGCUUAACGGCUUGUUGGUGGGGUAGUGGCUUACCAAGGCUUGGCCGGGUUGCGGGCCUGAGAGGGUGGCCGGCCCCGUUGGGUCUGGACUGCGGCCCGGCCUCCUCCGGGAGGCAACGGUGGGGAAGAGUGCCCAGUGGACGGAAGCAUAGUCCAGCAACGCCGCGUGGGGGAUGUCGGCCUGCGGUUUGUAUUCCACUUUCGCCUGUGACGAAGCGUGAAUGACGGUAAUGGGUGAAGAAGCACCGGCUAACUACGUG